UCUAAAAUUCAUAUCUUUUUUAUUAUUGGUCCAAAAAAUAUGGGACCAAUUGCAUUAUUUCUCUUUAAAUUUCUAGUUUCUAAAAAUGAUUUUUAAUAUUUUUUAUUUUGUCAUUUGCUAUAUUUAAAUAAUUUUCUCUUUUCUGGUUAUUUUCAAUUCAUUUUAAAUAGUUUUUGAUAUUCAAAAAAUACAAAAAUAUUUUUCUAACCUCUUUGAAUGAUGAUAGGUCUAUGAAAA
rnacentral:lncRNA from 1 species